GUCCACGCCGUAAACGAUGUCGACUUGGAGGUUGUUCCCUUGAGGAGUGGCUUCCGGAGCUAACGCGUUAAGUCGACCGCCUGGGGAGUACGGCCGCAAGGUUAAACUCAAAUGAAUUGACGGGGCCCGCACAAGCGGUGGAGCAUGUGGUUUAAUUCGAUGCAACGCGAAGAACCUUACCUACUCUUGACAUCCACGGAAUUCGGCAGAGAUGCCUUAGUGCCUUCGGGAACCGUGAGACAGGUGCUGCAUGGCUGUCGU
rnacentral:rRNA from 1 species